AUGCCAAGAAAAUUAAGACCAGAGCGCAGAAGCAGCAGCGCUUUAAAGCGCGUCGUCCUGCUGCUAGGAGCCUUGCUCGGAGGCAGUGACAUGACCUACAGUCCAAAAAUAGUUGGCUCCUGCUCCCUGGCAGCCCACAGCCCUGGGAUAAAACAGCCAACAGGUGAGGGCAUUGGGGUUGGUUUCAUUGAGAUCUCUAAUAAAUGGCAUCUGUUUCUUUUAAAGGUUAUUUUGCCCGUGUGUCUCGAUGUUUCCAGCUGGAGCUAUCUGGCAUUUACCCUGCUCUUGAGGACAAGAUACCUGGCGGAGUUGCCAUCCUGCUCUUGGAGGAACCAGGCGGUUUGGGUGCUCGGGGCCGGGCUCGCAGGAGCUCUCGGGGGUGGCACCAUGCCAGCGCUAGCCCAGGUUGGGUUGAGCGCUCAUUUGGCCGAGGGGCCGUUUGCCACCUUGCAAACGUGGUGCUGUGUCCGCCCUCUGCUCUUGCAGAGAGGAGGGGGACAGGGAUACCCAGCUGGGCAGAGAGGCGUCCAAGGAGAAACGUUGCCUACCGCCGCCAGCAACGAAGCUGAUCUCUCCACGUCGUCCCAGCUCGGCUCUGCUCAGCGCGACACUUUGGACAAGUUACAGCAUUGCCCUAUGCCUUGGUCACCCUGUCUAUAAACAGGGUUAAAGCCUCUGGUUUCUGCAUUACACAAGGAAUAACGGCUCUUGUGAGAGGUGUCUGGACCUCUCCGGUGAAGCAAUGAGGCUGGGGAUGAAGGUCCCAGGUUGGGAUCCCAGCUGCGACGCUGCUUCACCUGUAGCCUUGGGUGAGUCCCUUCGCCCCUCGGCUCUCCCGCGGGGGCCGGCAGGCAGCGCGCGUUUUGUGCGGCGGGUUGGGAUCCUUGGCUGGAAAAUGCUACGUCAGAGCUGGAAAUUCCUCUGCCCUGAGCCAGGACGGUCUCUCCUCUCCCAGGCUCUGUCCCCUUCCCUUUGCAUCAGCAGCGCGAAGCGCCAGGCCUGGAAUAAACCAUGACGGAAAGUAGCUUUGCA
rnacentral:lncRNA from 1 species